GAUGAACGCUGGCGGCGUGCCUAAUACAUGCAAGUCGAGCGAACAGACGAGGAGCUUGCUCCGUUGACGUUAGCGGCGGACGGGUGAGGAACACGUAGGUAACCGACCGAUAAGACUGGGAUAACUUCGGGAAACCGGAGCUAAUACCGGAUAAUAGUGCGAACCGCAUGGUUCGAUAGUGAAAGAUGGCUUUGCUAUCACUUAUAGAUGGACCUGCGCCGUAUUAGCUAGUUGGUAAGGUAACGGCUUACCAAGGCAACGAUACGUAGCCGACCUGAGAGGGUGAUCGGCCACACUGGAACUGAGACACGGUCCAGACUCCUACGGGAGGCAGCAGUAGGGAAUCUUCCGCAAUGGGCGAAAGCCUGACGCAGCAACGCCGCGUGAGUGAUGAAGGUCUUCGGAUCGUAAAACUCUGUUAUUAGGGAAGAACAAACGUGUAAGUAACUGUGCACGUCUUGACGGUACCUACUCAGAAAGCCACGGCUAACUACGUG
rnacentral:rRNA from 1 species